UACAGAGGGGGCAAGCGUUGUUCGGAAUUACUGGGCGUAAAGGGCGCGUAGGCGGCCUGUUAAGUGGAACGUGAAAUCCCUGGGCUCAACCCAGGAACUGCGUCCGAUACUGGCAGGCUUGAAUUCGGGAGAGGGAUGUGGAAUUCCAGGUGGAGCGGUGAAAUGCGUAGAUAUCUGGAGGAACACCGGUGGCGAAGGCGGCAUCCUGGACCGAUAUUGACGCUGAGGCGCGAAAGCCAGGGGAGCAAACGGG
rnacentral:rRNA from 1 species